AUUGAACGCUGGCGGCAUGCCUUACACAUGCAAGUCGAACGGCAGCACGGACUUCGGUCUGGUGGCGAGUGGCGAACGGGUGAGUAAUGUAUCGGAACGUACCUUUCAGUGGGGGAUAACGUAGCGAAAGUUACGCUAAUACCGCAUAUUCUGUGAGCAGGAAAGCAGGGGAUCGAAAGACCUUGCGCUGAUUGAGCGGCCGAUAUCAGAUUAGCUAGUUGGUGGGGUAAAGGCCUACCAAGGCGACGAUCUGUAGCGGGUCUGAGAGGAUGAUCCGCCACACUGGAACUGAGACACGGUCCAGACUCCUACGGGAGGCAGCAGUGGGGAAAUUUGGACAAUGGGGGCAACCCUGAUCCAGCCAUGCCGCGUGAGUGAAGAAGGCCUUCGGGUUGUAAAGCUCUUUCGGCCGGGAAGAAAUCGCAUAGGCUAAUACCCUGUGUGGAUGACGGUACCGGAAUAAGAAGCACCGGCUAACUACGUG
rnacentral:rRNA from 1 species